CGGGAGUGCGAGAGUGCGUGCGUUAGGAACCAUCGCGGGCUCGACGCGGCGGGGUCGCGGCCAUCGGUGGCUGUGCUGUGUGCACGCUGUUGCUGGGUGACCGUUGGCCAUUGGGUGGCUGUGACCGUUAAGCGUUUGGUCAAUCACUAGAAUCUCGUCCACUCAGAGCGAGUCUGCAUGCAGCAAGCCGGUCUCUCCUCCGGGCCUCUUCGCCCCCGCGACCAUCUCAGUCUCUGUCCUUGGUGCUGCCACCCCUCCAGUCUCUGCUCUCCUGCAGCUGUGCAGCCCAGAGCACUGUACUUGCCAGAGACCUGGGCAGAGCUCUUUAGAGUCAAUAAGAACGUAUUGCCCACAAGUGUGUAGAGAGCAAGCCGACCAGGGCCAGGUGAGAAUCCUGGCCGUAAGAACUUUCUUUUUAUCCCCACUAAGGUUAAACAUAUAUGUGUUUAAUAUAUAUGUGUGUGUGUGUUUAAAUAAAUGUAUCUUAUGAAGGAGAAGAAAAUAAGCAAACAUGUCUUAAAUGGGUUGCCAAGCAGCAUCUUGUUGCUGGCUGGUAUCUUUCAGCCUAGUCCCUGAGCCCCACGUAGUUUGGAAGCGCUGGACUUUACACAAACUGGGGCAGUGUGGUCCAGUGUGGUCAUCCGUCCGACAUCCUGGGGGUGGCCAGGCCCCGUUAGGUCUGGCCUCCCGAUGCAGAAACCCUCCCUGACCAAGGUGGUACAGUUCAUCCCUGAGCUGGGCCCAGGCCAGAGCCCUGAUUUGGCCUUGUUUAUGUUAGAAUAUGUACUCUUGUGCCUUCUUGAAAUAUCAGAGGUUUGUUCCUUGUCCAUGUUGUUGCAUGUCUGAAGGUGGUUGUUUCCUCCAAGUUAACCUAGAGAUGUAAAUGUGAUAAAAGUGCCAGUGCCCUCAGGAUGUGCUAAUUCUUGUCAGAUACUAAGGCACUCAAAGUCUUCCAUAGUUCUGCGGUAUUGGCUCAUGAAUUGUCUGACUGGUGGAAGAGAAAGUUCAGAAAUCUUAUCAAAUACAGGGGAUUUAGUGUGUAAUAAAGGUGGGGGCAAAUCACUGGGGCAAAAGUGGACUUCUUUUUCUUGGGGAAUAACUGGAUAGUCAUUUGGAAAAAGAUUAAAUUGGAUUCAGACCUCACAUCAUGCAAAAGAAUGAAUUCCAAAUUGAUGAGAGGUUUAAAUUAAGCUGUUCAAGCACCAGAAGUACAGAGGUGAAUUCCAUUUAGCGUGAAUGUUUGGGAAGACUUUCUAAUUAUGCCUUAAUAAUCCAGACUUAAUAAAAGGCUGCUACUUUUGAUAAUUUAAAACAAAUGUACUUUUGUAAGGCAAAAUACACUAUAAACAAAGGCAAAAGACAAAUGACAAACAAAAUGUUUAUAUGUGUCAUAAUAUAUAAAGAUAAAAUAUGUACAACUUUAUAAUAUAUGAAGACAAAAAAUUACAGCAACUUUUGAACUCAGUUUUGUUUUCAUCAUAGCAUGGGCAUCAUGAUUUGGACUUUUUGUUCGUUGUAGGAUUGAUCAAAUGAAUAAAAAAAAAUGUAUUGAU